GCCCCCGGUGGAACCGGACCUGUAAAGCGAAGGUCGUCGGUUCGAAUCCGACAGGGGGCU
rnacentral:tRNA from 1 species